GGUUAAUUAGUUCAAUGGUCAGAACGCCUGUUUGUGGCACAGGAGACGGCAGUUCGAUUCUGUUAUUAGCCC
rnacentral:tRNA from 1 species